UAUAUGCCGUCUGCAUAGCCCUCAAGCCCCCAAGAGGGGUUUGGUUACCAGUAUCAGCCCCAUCACACCCAGAGCACCCGCCUGGCCAAGGGACCGGGCUCUUGUUUCUGGUGCAGGAGGCACAGGUUUCACAGCGAGGAUGCCUGAGGAGCUUGUGCAGAUGUCUGCCUUAGCUCCCUCAUGGUGACAGAGUGGCCCUGGGAUGCCUUUCUGGAGGCUACAGGGUGGAGGAGGGAACUUCAUGGAGGCAUCUGGGUUGGAGCACAAGGCUGGAGGAGUUGCAAUGGAAGUGUUCUGUGAAGCCUAACUCGGUUCCUGAACAAGCAGCGAGGUACCAGCUGCAGUGUAUGCAUGACAGGCUGGAAGGACCCUGCUACUGCAAGGCAGGCGGCAGAACCACUGAGCCAAACCCCGGCCCCUGACAGGAUUUUCUCUUCAGAUCUACCAUGCAG
rnacentral:lncRNA from 1 species